AGAGUUUGAUCCUGGCUCAGAAUGAACGUUGGCGGCAUGGAUUAGGCAUGCAAGUCGAGCGAGAAGUCUUAGUUUGAAGCUUCGGUUGAUGACUAGGAUGGACAGCGGCGCAAGGGAGAGUAACGCGUAGUUAUCUGCCCCGAGGUCCAGAAUAGCUGUGGGAAACUACAGGUAAUGCCGGAUGAUAUCCACAUCCCUCAAAAGAUGUAGAUCAAAGGUGUGAUUCCGCCUUGGGAGGAGACUGCGUUGUACUAGCUUGUUGGUGGGGCAAUGGCUCACCAAGGCUACGAUGCAUAGCGGGCGUGAGAGCGUGGCCCGUCUCACUGGGACUGAAACACUGCCCAGACACCUACGGGUGGCUGCAGUCGAGAAUCUUCGGCAAUGGGCGAAAGCCUGACCGAGCGAUGCCGCGUGCGGGAUGAAGGCCUUCGGGUUGUAAACCGCUGUCAGUAGGGAGGAAAUCACCGGGGGCUAUCCCCUAGUGUUGACCUAUCUUCAGAGGAAGUACGGGCUAAGUUCGUGCCAGCAGCCGCGGUAAUACGAACCGUACAAACGUUAUUCGGAAUUAUUGGGCUUAAAGGGUGCGUAGGCGGCGCAGUCAGUGAGGUGUGAAAUCCCUCGGCUUAACCGAGGAAUUGCGCUUCAUACUGCUGUGCUCGAGGGAGACAGGGGUAAGCGGAACUGAUGGUGGAGCGGUGA
rnacentral:rRNA from 1 species